AGAGUUGAUCAUGGCUCAGGAUGAACGCUAGCGACAGGCCUAACACAUGCAAGGUCGAGGGGCAGCACAAGGAGCAAUCUGAGGUGGCGACCGGCGCACGGGUGAGUAACACGUAUGCCAACCUGCCUGUAAGCGGGGAAUAACCCGUUGAAAGACGGACUAAUACCGCAUAAUACUAAAUUACUGCAUGGUAAUUUAUUUAAACAUUUAUGGCUUACAGGAUGGGCAUGCGCAUGAUUAGCUAGUUGGAGAGGUAACGGCUCCCCAAGGCAACGAUCAUUAGGGGUUCUGAGAGGAAGGUCCCCCACAUUGGAACUGAGACACGGUCCAAACUCCUACGGGAGGCAGCAGUGAGGAAUAUUGGUCAAUGGGACGAGAGUCUGAACCAGCCAAAGUAGCGUGAAGGAUGACUGCCCUAUGGGUUGUAAACUUCUUUUAUAAGGGAAUAAAGUGAGGGACGUGUCCCUUUUUGUAUGUACCUUAUGAAUAAGGAUCGGCUAACUCCGUGCCAGCCGCCGC
rnacentral:rRNA from 1 species